GAAGAGAAACCAAGGAAGAACAAGCCCUAGGUGAAAAAUCAAAGAGAAAGUGUUGGAAUUCAAGGAAACAAGCUAGGUAAGUUCAAAUUUCUUUAAUUCUCCUUGAUACCUAGCUUACCCAUGCUUUUGUUCUUGAUUUCCAUGGUUGAAUAUUGAGUUAUCAUGAUGAAUUCAAUUCUGAAAAAUGGGUAUGGAAGAGGAAUUGUUGUUGGAAUAAUUUGAUUUUAGACUAUGUUAGUGUUUAAGGAUAGUUAAGCAUGGUUAUGAACAAAAACACAAAAGAAAUAUUCAAUUUCUCUAGGGUUCCUUGUUGUUCGAACCAUGAGGGCUGAAUAUCAAUGGGGGAUUGUUUUUCUUUCAAGGAAAAUGGCUUGAAAAUAUGAUGAAUUAAAGUGAAACGGUUAUGUAGAAAAAUUUCGGUGCUAGUGCACCAAAUGAUCGAAUUUUUCUAUAAGGAACUGUGAGGGUUCUAAUGCUGAAUUUGGCUUUAUUUAAAUGGUAUGUGGUAAAUUAAGGUAUUAGAGGAGAAAUGGAUUAAUUUGGAGUGAAAUUGGAUGCAUUGGCCAAUUUAUCAAAUGAAAAAUCGACUUAGGCCACUACCGAAUCUAGAUGGCUACCCGUGCAUUUUUCAUUUCAUAUCAUAUAUAUAUCGAGCCUGAAAUAGCUUAUGACUGUUAGACACAAUUUAAUUGGAAUAUGUGUCAUGGAUUAUGGCUAGGUGGUGAGCCAUUGCAUACGGGUAAAGGACUGUACCCGCAGACUAAAAAUAGGAGUAUUUCUACUCCUAAUACCGGUGAGUGGACUUGCAUUUCAAACUUAUUUUGGGGAAUAUGAAAGAUUCUAUCCAACUUGCCUUAGAAAAUGUACCUUGGGAACAAGCUUUUAGUAAAAUGAUUUAUAUUGUGAAAAUGUGCUAUACAAUAGUUUAUGUGUUAUCACAAUAUGAUAAAAUGCAUGAUAUGCAUUGGAUGCUUCUUUACAUGUUGAUUUGAACCCGGCUAUGUGCGAGUAGGAGUGCACAUAAGCUGUUGCUGACCCGGCUAUGUGUGAGUGGGAGUGCACAUAAGCCGUUGUUGCCUCCGUAGCGAAAGGGGGGAUGCUCCGCGAUCUCCCACCUCUCCGCCCAAGAGCUUGGAAGAGGAAGGAAGGGACUACUCUGUUGCUUCGUGAUCUAGAGUGAAGUACACCUUUUGCCGAGUGAAGGGGGGGAAGCUUGGAAGAGGAGGGAAGGGACUGCUCCGUUGCUUCAUGAUCCGGAGUGAAGUGCACCUCAUGUCGAGUGAAGGGGGGGAAGCUUGGAAGAGGAAGGAACGGACUGCUCCGUUGCUUCGUGAUCCGAAGUGAAGUGCACCUCUUGUCGAGUGAAGUGGGGGGAUGCUUCCUGAUCUCCCACCCCCUAGUGACAAUAGCAUAAGUCGUUGCAUAUGAGAUGAUGAUGAUGGGAUGAUGUGCAUGAUGAUGGGAUGAUGUGCAUGAUGAUGAUGAUGGGAUGGUGUGCAUGUUGAUGAUGGGUAUAUGGUUGUAAAUGCAAAUAUGUAAGCAUUUGUUUUGUUGAAAUUUGGAAGUUUACAUGUGUUACAUGUUGCUAUUGUUAUUUUAGCAAGAUGACUUGUUUUAAGGGGAUGACUUGUUUUAAGGGAAAAAGGAGACUUUUUCCUUGAUGUUUUUGUUCUUGUUGUAGCGAGAAUGAAGUUCGUUACAGCGAGAAACUUUCUGUCCAUUUUGCUAACUUGUGGGUUUUUGCCAUAUAUCCUAUUUCUUUGAUACCAUAGUUGAGCAUGGAUUUUUGUAAAGUGAUUUACUCAUGUGGGGUUUAAAUGAGGGGUUUAAAGGAGCUAAAACAAUUGCAUGGUUUUGAGAAAAUGAAUGCAUCAUGAUUUCGACAAACAUUCCUUAUGGUAUGCUUGUUCCCAUCUUGUUCACUCACUGAGUAUUGUACUCACGUUUUAUAAAAAAUUCAUGUUUUCAGAUCAAGUGACUGUUGGACCCUAGAUCGAGGAGUCCCCGUAGUGCAUCUCCUGGGUAUGUGUCUGGCAUUCGAUAGUAAUCCCUUUUAUUAUAAAUGUCUCCGUUGGAAGUCAUGAGUCUUUUUGUAUUGUGAAUACAAUCUAACAAUGUGAAUAUGUGUAUGCAAUGUAAAUUGCUAAAUACAUGACUAGUAUAAUGCAUGUAUAUUAUUAUCGAUAAUGCCAUUGUGUUUUGGCUAUGUUCACACCCGGGAAAAGGUGUGUGUAUGCAUGAUAUGAUAAAUUUGUUAAGCAAAGGUAAAUGGAUAGGCUUGCUUGGGCUUAGUGAGCUAUGCUCAUUGAGCUCAUGCGCCGGUCAUGGCUCGAAAAAUUGGGUCAUGACAAAGUUGAUAUCAGAGCCCUAGGUUGUUUAGGUCCUAUGGUGUUAUGGUCAAGUCCAGCGGAGAGUCAGGUUUUUAUGUGGGAUUUUUAAUUAUAAAUUGUGAGCCGCGACACAUUUCAUAAUCGAGAAACCGCAUAAAUUCUCAAUCUUAGAAACCACCUUAUCUCUUUAACUGUGGUUAAUGACAAGUGUUUGCUCUUAUCUAGGUAAGAAUGCCACCUAAGACACGGGCCACCUUAAGACAAGUAGGGGAGCAAGAUGCCCCUACUGAGAUGACUAAUAGGGCACAGGCACUCACCCCGUAGGGGGCAAGGUAGGCGUGGCAGGGUCGCUAGGCCGGUGAGAGCGAGUACGCCUGUGAAUAGGAGAAAAGAAUACUUGGUGGUACCCACUCCUUUAAAGGAGGUGUUUGUGACUGAAUAAGAAAAUAAAUCCUGCGUAGCUCGAAUCAAUGAUAAAAAUACCUUAGUGAAUUUAGUGGUGUUAGACACCUUAAGGAGCUUAAGGAUCAGUUGGAGGACCCUUAUGAAAAGAAAGAAAAGAUGUUUAUCAAAGGCACAGAUGAAAUGUUAAGGUAUGAAAAUAAACUUUAUGUACCGGAUAAUGAUGAAUUGAGGAGAGAGAUAUUGGAGGAGGCGCAUAUGGCAGCCUAUGUGGUACAUUCAGGAGCUUGGCAACGAGGCUGAGUGAUACUGCUUGCCAAGUGCUCUGAUAGGUACCCUUUGUUGCUCGUCGCGGAAGGGAGAAAAGGUUGCCCUGAAGGGUGGAGCCACCCCUAGUGACAAUGUUGGUAUUAGGAUUUAAAGGAGGUGACAUGGGAAGCUGAGGAUGAGAUGCGGACAAGGCAUCCACACCUUUUCGAUAUGUAAACGUAAGUCACUCUACAUUGAAUUUAAAUUCGGGGAUCGAAUUUUUAUUAGUGGGGGAGAAUGUGAGACCUUGUCAAGCUCGAUUCAAAAAUGAGUUUUUUUGCCCCAUUUGGUUAAUAUUGAUCAAUGUUAGUGUUAUUUGAGGUUGAAAAGUAGAAAUAAUUUGAUCCCGGUACAUUUCGGAGUAUAGGGGUAAAAUUGUAAUUUUUUCACCCCGGGGGCAAAUCGGUAAAUUUUUCACCCCAGCACUUGUCAAGGCCAAGGGAUUUUAUUCAUCCUGUAAAUGGAUAAACAUGAGAAAUGUGUGGUGGAGAGAGAUUGCUUAAUGGCUAAGUAUGACACAUGGACCAAUGGAAUGGUGACAUGUGUUAAAAUCUCAUCCAUUCAUUAUUUUCUUUAUAAAAGGCAUAAAAAUCAGCCCAUUUCUCCCAUAGUGAUCAGCCAAACCAGAAGAGAAGAGAAACCAAGGAAGAACAAGCCCUAGGUGGGAAAAAUCAAAGAGAAAGUGUUGGAAUUCAAGGAAACAAGCUAGGUAAGUUAAAAUUUCUUUAAUUCUCCUUGAUACCUAGCUUACCCAUGCUUUUGUUCUUGAUUUCCAUGGUUGAAUAUUGAGUUAUCAUGAUGAAUUCAAUUCUGAAAAAUGGGUAUGGAAGAGGAAUUGUUGUUGGAAUAAUUUGAUUUUAGACUAUGUUAGUGUUUAGGGAUAGUUAAGCAUGGUUAUGAACAAAAACACAAAAGAAAUAUUCAAUUUCUCUAGGGUUCCUUGUUGGUCGAACCAUGAGGGCUGAAUAUCAAUGGGGGAUUGUUUUUAUUUCAAGGAAAAUGGCUUGAAAAAUGAUGAAUUAAGGUGAAACGGUUAUGUAGAAAAAAAUUCGAUGCUAGUGCACCAAAUGACCAAAUUUUUCUAUAAGGAACUGUGAGGGUUCUAAUGCUGAAUUUGGCUUUAUUUAAAUGGUAUGUGGUAAAUUAAGGUAUUAGAGGAGAAAUGGAUUAAUUUGGAGUGAAAUUGGACGCAUUGGCCAAUUUAUCGGAUGAAAAAUCGACUUAGGCCACUACCGGGUCUAGAUGGCUACUCGUGCAUUUUUCAUUUCAUAUCAUAUAUAUAUCGAGCCUGAAAUAGCUUAUGACUGUUAGACACAAUUUAAUUGGAAUAUGUGUCAUGGAUUAUGGCUAGGUGGUGAGCCAUUGGAUACGGGUAAAGGACUGUACCCGCGGACUGAAAAUAGGAGUAUUUCUACUCCUAAUACCGGUGAGUGGACUUGCAUUUCAAACUUGUUUUGGGGAAUAUGAAAGAUUCUAUCCAACUUGCCUUAGAAAAUGUACCUUGGGAACAAGCUUUUAGUAAAAUGAUUUUAUAUUGUGAAAGUGUGCUAUACAAUGGUUUAUGUGUUAUCACAAUAUGAUAAAAUGCAUGAUAUGCAUUGGAUGCUUCUUUACAUGUCGAUUUGAACCCAGCUAUGUGCGAGUAGGAGUGCACAUAAGCCGUUGUUGACCCGGCUAUGUGUGAGUGGGAGUGCACAUAAGCCGUUGUUGCCUCCGUAG
rnacentral:lncRNA from 1 species